GACAGAGGUGCCAAGCGUUAGGCGGAAUCACUGGGCUUAAAGCGUGUGUAGGCGGACUUGUAAGUACCUUGUGAAAUCCCACGGCUCAACCGUGGAACUGCUCGGUAUACUGCUUGUCUUGAGCCACUUAGGGGCUGUCGGAACAAACGGUAGAGCGGUGAAAUGCGUAGAUAUCGUUUGGAACGCCAAUGGUGAAAACAGACAGCUGGGAGUGUGCUGACGCUGAGACACGAAAGCGUGGGGAGCGAACAGG
rnacentral:rRNA from 1 species